CAGUCGAGCGAACAGACGAGGAGCUUGCUCCUUUGACGUUAGCGGCGGACGGGUGAGUAACACGUAGGUAACCUACCUAUAAGACUGGGAUAACUUCGGGAAACCGGAGCUAAUACCGGAUAAUAUUUCGAACCGCAUGGUUCGAUAGUGAAAGAUGGCUUUGCUAUCACUUAUAGAUGGACCUGCGCCGUAUUAGCUAGUUGGUAAGGUAACGGCUUACCAAGGCAACGAUACGUAGCCGACCUGAGAGGGUGAUCGGCCACACUGGAACUGAGACACGGUCCAGACUCCUACGGGAGGCAGCAGUAGGGAAUCUUCCGCAAUGGGCGAAAGCCUGACGGAGCAACGCCGCGUGAGUGAUGAAGGUCUUCGGAUCGUAAAACUCUGUUAUUAGGGAAGAACAAACGUGUAAGUAACUGUGCACGUCUUGACGGUACCUAAUCAGAAAGCCACGGCUAACUACGUGCCAGCAGCCGCGGUAAUACGUAGGUGGCAAGCGUUAUCCGGAAUUAUUGGGCGUAAAGCGCGCGUAGGCGGUUUUUUAAGUCUGAUGUGAAAGCCCACGGCUCAACCGUGGAGGGUCAUUGGAAACUGGAAAACUUGAGUGCAGAAGAGGAAAGUGGAAUUCCAUGUGUAGCGGUGAAAUG
rnacentral:rRNA from 1 species